CCAACGGAAGUAGAGGAAAGUGGCGGACGGGUGAGUAACGCGUGAGGAACCUGCCUUGAAGAGGGGGACAACAGUUGGAAACGACUGCUAAUACCGCAUGACGCAUAGAGGUCGCAUGAUCUUUAUGCCAAAGAUUUAUCGCUUCAAGAUGGCCUCGCGUCUGAUUAGCUAGUUGGCGGGGUAACGGCCCACCAAGGCGACGAUCAGUAGCCGGACUGAGAGGUUGAACGGCCACAUUGGGACUGAGAUACGGCCCAGACUCCUACGGGAGGCAGCAGUGGGGAAUAUUGGGCAAUGGGCGCAAGCCUGACCCAGCAACGCCGCGUGAAGGAAGAAGGCUUUCGGGUUGUAAACUUCUUUUAAGAGGGAAGAGCAGAAGACGGUACCUCUAGAAUAAGCCACGGCUAACUACGUGCCAGCAGCCGCGGUAAUACGUAGGUGGCAAGCGUUGUCCGGAUUUACUGGGUGUAAAGGGCGUGCAGCCGGGUCUGCAAGUCAGAUGUGAAAUCCAUGGGCUCAACCCAUGAACUGCAUUUGAAACUGUAGAUCUUGAGUGUCGGAGGGGCAAUCGGAAUUCCUAGUGUAGCGGUGAAAUGCGUAGAUAUUAGGAGGAACACCAGUGGCGAAGGCGGAUUGCUGGACGAUAACUGACGGUGAGGCGCGAAAGUGUGGGGAGCAAACAGGAUUAGAUACCCUGGUAGUCCACACUGUAAACGAUGAAUACUA
rnacentral:rRNA from 1 species